rnacentral:tRNA from 1 species
UGUGCCCGUAGCUCAGUUGGAUAGAGUGACGGUCUCCGAAGCCGUAGGUCGCGCGUUCGAGUCGCGCCGGGCACAG